rnacentral:lncRNA from 1 species
AGCAGUGUAUCAGCAAGCUGUGCCUCGAGGUCCUGCACUCCUAGACUGCUUUGAAAAGAGUUCCCUCAGGCCAUCCCCACCUUCUCCCACUCACUGUCUCAUAGGCCUUGGGGUACCUUGGAGGUGUGGAUUUCCUGGUGUGCAUCACUGCAGUGAACCUUCUAGUGGGGAGCACUCUGGGAGCCAGUGAACCGGUGUGGGACAAGGACCACUAGAGACUCAAUGGACCUCACCAACAUCUGAAGCUCUUGACAUGAGGCUGUGAGCUUAAGAAUUAGCGGGCUUGGCAUUCUGGAAGAAUCUUAAGGGAAAGGAGAGGAAGCUAAGGCCGUAAGGGGUCCAAAGCUUUCUCUGUAAUUUGUGUUUUACAGCUCUUUCCUAAAAUAAAAUCAGAUUUGUCCUCA